rnacentral:rRNA from 1 species
UAGUCAAUGCUCGCAAGAGUGAACUAGCUAACUGAAAUCUUAAUAAGAUAAGGUAAGGGAAAAUAAUGAUACUACCUUACUAUAGUGUUGUCUAAAUACCUGGUGCCAGAAGACUCGGUAAGGCCAGAAACGCGAACGUUAGUCCUAAUAAACAGGCGUAAAGGGUAUGUAGGCAGCUUUAUUGUUCCUGUUCCGGAAGGGAAUGGGAGUGAGUACAUAAAGAUAGAAUCUAGAAGAGGUCAAUAACAAAUAAUGCUUAGAGUAGGGUUAAAAUCCUUAGAAACUACAGUGGAAUACUAAUGGCGAAGGCAUUUGACCAAUAAAGAUUGACGCUGAAAGACGAAGGUAAGGAGAGGAAAUAGGCUUAGAGACCCAUGAACCCCUUACAGUCAACGAUGAAUGGUAGUAAUCAGGAUAUUAACUGGUUUCGAGGUUAACGCGAUGACCAUUCCGCCUUGUGAGUACGAUUCCACAAUUGAAAACAAAAAAAUUAGUCGGUCUCGAAGCAAACGAAGUGAAGCAUGUUAUUUAAU